ensembl:lncRNA
GGGGGUAAUGGGGGGUUAAUGGGGCUGGCAGUCAAUGUGGGGCUAUAAUGGGGGUUAAUGGGGCUGGCAGUCAAUGUGGGGCUAUAAUGGGGGGUAAUGGGGCUGGCAGUCAAUGUGGGGCUGUAAUAAUGGGGGUUAAUGGGGCUGCCAGUCAAUGUGGGGCUGUAAUGGGGGGCAAUGGGGCUGGCAGUCAAUGUGGCUCUAUAAUAGGGGUUAAUGGGGCUGGCAGUCAAUGUGGGGCUAUAAUGGGGGGUGGUAAUGGGGCUGGCAGCCAAUGUGGCUCUAUAAUAGGGGUUAAUGGGGCUGGCAGCCAAUGUGGGGCUGUAAUGGGGGGUAAUGGGGGGGGAAUGGGGGUUAAUGGGGCUGGCAGUCAAUGUGGUUCUAUAAUAAUGGGGGUUAAUGGGGCUGGCAGUCAAUGUGGGGCUGUAAUGGGGGGUAAUGGGGCUGGCAGUCAAUGUGGGGCUGUAAUAAUGGGGGUUAAUGGGGCUUAAUGGGGCUGGAAGCCAAUGUGGGGCUGUAAUGGGGGGUAAUGGGGGGUAAUGGGGGGUAAUGGGGCUGUAAUAAUGGGGGUUAAUGGGGCUGGCAGUCAAUGUGGGGCUAUAAUGGGGGUUAAUGGGGCUGGCAGCCAAUGUGGG